rnacentral:rRNA from 1 species
UUUAUUGGAGAGUUUGAUCCUGGCUCAGGAUGAACGCUGGCGGCGUGCCUAAUACAUGCAAGUCGAGCGAAUGGAUUGAGAGCUUGCUCUCAAGAAGUUAGCGGCGGACGGGUGAGUAACACGUGGGUAACCUGCCCAUAAGACUGGGAUAACUCC